rnacentral:lncRNA from 1 species
ACCAUGCCCGGCUAAUUUUUUGUACUUCUUUUUUAGGAGAGAUGGGAUUUCACCAUGUUAGCCAGGAUGGUCUCGAUCUGCUGACCUAGUGAUCUGCCCGCCUCGGCCGCCCAAAGUGCUGGGAUUACAGGCGUGAGCCACAGCUCCCGGCCAUAUCAUGUAAUUCUUAAAGAAGUGAACCUGUGGAGUUUUAAAGAAUUGGCCAAGGACAUCAAGCAAGUUACAAGGUGAUCACACGUACCUCUAAGUCCUGCCUGGGUUCACUCCACAAAGGUCAUUCACAAAUUACAGCAAACAUUGCAUAGUGUGCUUUAAACAAAGCCACCUUACAGAAGCUCUUUUGCACCCAUUAUCAACGAUCUGCACAACAGCUCCGUGAGGUGUUGUGGACGCUUUUAUUAUGACUUGUCAGUACCUCUUACCCUCUUUUUCAGCUUUGCUCUCCCCUCUCAAGGAACAGCACCUUCCUCAUUUCAGUGAAUUGGUUCUAGGGCUACGGUGGUAUCUUGCUCCUCUGGCUGCAGUGAUUGGCCCAACAAUGUACUUGUGGCCCACACAGGGCCAAUCAGAGUCGUUCUUUGGGUUCUUAUACCUUGAGCUAGAGGCGUAUACUCUUCUUCCUGGGCAGCCACUGCACACGUGAGCCUGAGGGUAGCUGUGUUCCAGCUUUGCACAGAAAGCAGGUUUGGGAGAAUGAAGCCAGAGGCCAAGGAGAGAAUGCGGAAUCCUGGAGUGUUGAAGGCCCUUGUUUUGAUUCCUCGCGUCCUCCAGUCCAUCCUCAUUUUCUGGAGAGGCAGCGUGACCUAACGACGAAAGCCUCCACAACUGGUUUCUGUCGGUGUGAGUCCCAAAUCUGCCACUGGCUGGCUGGGAAACCUUGGCCUAGGUUUUCUUUAAACAUUUGCUUUUGGGGCCCUGAUCUGCCACAUUCAAAAUAUGACUGCCCAUUUGAAAAGAUCAUGUGGAGAGGCUGUGAAGCUAGAGAGAGGGGCCCAGCUGAGCCUGGCCUUCCAGCUGCUCACUAAGGCUCCAGUUAUGUGAGAAGACAUGUUGGACCUCUCAGCCAAGCCCAGCUGCCAGAUGAAUACCACUGAGUCACCCCCGUGGAGGCUGUGUGGAACAGAAGAAUCACCAAGCCAAGUCCUGCUGAAAUUCUGGAUUCACAAAAUCAGGAGCGAUUUGGGAAGAUGGAAAAUGCCAGCUUCAAAGCUGGCUCAUGGGGCUAAAAAGAAGCGACUCUGAAAAUGAGUGUUCUGUUGCCUGUGGAGCUGCCUGGAGGUGUCCUCAGCAAGGCCCUGAAUCACCAUCUGGGAAAGCUGCAUGUGCUGGGCCAAGAGAGGUGGCCUGGGAUGCCCAGCUUGAGGAAGGUGGAUUUUUACCCUGGAACAAGUGACAUGCAAAUAGGCAGCUGAACACAGUGACUUUCCAGGCCAGGCCUGCUCCAGCUGCUGUGCUCCAGCCUCGGGGCCUCAGCCUCCCCUCUGGUUCGUGCUGCAUGAGUGAUGAGUCUGAUCAUGUCCU